CUAUUGCAAGAUAAACAGAUUAGAUCUAUAUCAAAGUCAAAGCAAGGUCACAUCUAAAAUGCUAGACAGUUUUACCAGUAAGAGUUGUUUUUCCAGAUUCCUAAGAGCAGCAUUUAAAGUGACAAGAAUCAAGUCAAUUUCAUUCUAGUGCUGUCCCAGACAGCCUGGAGCAGCAACAAGUGGAGGCAGAUCCAAAAACCAGACACUUUAGGAAGCCAGAGAAGAGGCAGAGAGAGCUACUUUGAGUUUCAGACACCUACUAGCAAGAGUUUCAUACAAAAGAUGGAGUCAUCCAAGGGGAGUUCAAGAUCUCUGGUCGGAAGAAUCCCAACUCCCUCCUAUAAAGGCAUGUUUUAACUCCAAAUAUGAAUAAUGGAUUUGAAGAAAGGAUGUUGCUGCACAUAUUAAUCUGACAAAAAAGAAAACACUCCAGAGGGCCUGAGAACAGUCAAGAUUACUUUACAUGGUCAACAAUCACAUGACAGAAGGAUUAAAAACUUUGAAGUAAAUAUAUACAAGUAGAAUUACUUUGAAAAUGUAAGAAAAGACUUUUCAGAGUUAGAGAUCUGAUAUAGUUUAUCUUGAGAUUUUUUCUGCACACUGAUGUUGACUGUGCAUGC